UUUUUCGUGAUAAUAAUGGAAUCAUGAUAUGUUAGAGUUGUUGUUGAUUUCAACGUAAAUAAACUAAAUAUGAUUCCAUUAUUAUCAAGAAAAAAG